AUUGAACGCUGGCGGCAUGCCUUACACAUGCAAGUCGAACGGCAGCACGGGUGCUUGCACCUGGUGGCGAGUGGCGAACGGGUGAGUAAUACAUCGGAACAUGUCCUGUAGUGGGGGAUAGCCCGGCGAAAGCCGGAUUAAUACCGCAUACGAUCUACGGAUGAAAGCGGGGGACCUUCGGGCCUCGCGCUAUAGGGUUGGCCGCUGGCUGAUUAGCUAGUUGGCGGGGUAAAGGCCUACCAAGGCGACGAUCAGUAGCUGGUCUGAGAGGACGACCAGCCACACUGGGACUGAGACACGGCCCAGACUCCUACGGGAGGCAGCAGUGGGGAAUUUUGGACAAUGGGCGAAAGCCUGAUCCAGCAAUGCCGCGUGUGUGAAGAAGGCCUUCGGGUUGGAAAGCACUUUUGUCCGGAAAGAAAUCCUUGGCCCUAAUACGGUCGGGGGAUGACGGUACCGGAAGAAUAAGCACCGGCUAACUACGUG
rnacentral:rRNA from 1 species